GGGUCACUCGCAGCGGGUGGUCCUGGAACUCCGAGUAGGUGCGCUGGCAUACAUAUGUUUAUAGGUGGUAUAGGAUUCCAGACGGUUGCGUAACUGCUAGCCGGGUAGGGUAUAAGAGGCAUAGUGAAACGUUUCUGAUCACAGUUGAUUCUUUCUCUGUUGGUGGUAAACAGCAUUUUAUCAAUACAGUGUUGGCUAUUUGGAACCUUAUAGAAUAUUGUGUAUCCGAGGAACCUUUUGCAAGAGAAGACUGACUUUGUCCACUGACUUUGUCUGAUGUGUGAGUGACAGAACAUUUUGCUGUUUGUUUAUUUGAGGAGAGCUGAUUGAAUGAGUAGACAGCGUUGUGAUUCUUGAACCUGCAUCUGUGGUUUCUUUGAGUACUUCCAAAAGGAGCAGGUGCAAUUGCUGUUUGUGUCCUGGCUUAUGGCAGUGUCAGCAUUUUGCCUGGUGGAAGAAGCAGAGUUCGCAAUCUUGCAUUACAUAGCACUUAACACAAGACAACAGAGAACAUGAACUUGCAGACAAACAGGCUGGCCCCUUUAUGUACUCCUUACACUCCUGCAUAUAACUGUUGUCAACAUGUGCCACGCAGGAAUGGGCCCACUUUGGACUAUCAGCAUUUCUGAUAGACAAGAGACACUAUACCAUCCAAUGAGUGAGUGUUGUGGCACAUUGGUCAGAGCUCUGGACUUACAUUCAGGACCAUCUAGUGAGAUAUAAAUAUUUCAUGACUUUUACGAACUCAGUGAUGUGAAAUGAGAGAGUGAUGUGAAAUGAGAGGGUGAUUUCUUUGAGAAGAACACAUCCAAUUUUCUUCCCCAAUCAGAUUGAGGACUCUGUCUUUGGUGCCUUUCUACCCAGUGGGCUGUUCAACCUCAAUCUUCUUCGAACCCUGUACCUGCUAUCACAUUCGUCAGUUUGCAAUAAUGAGAAUCCACCCAUAUAUGUUCUAUGUUUUGAAGCUAACAUUUGCAUUUAGUUUUAUAGUUGCUCAGCCUAAUAGUAAAAAAAAAAAAGACACCAGCAACCAUACAAAUAGAAAAAGCAGAAGUAGUACAUUUCCAUUAAUGUGUGUGUAAUUAUCUAUUAAAGAUGCAGACAUGAAGUUGUUACUGUUACGUAUGCAGAUGGCAUAAGUAUUUUUCAUUCUGUGCUCUUCCACAGUUGUGUCAUUAUAACUUGCCAGGAAAGAAACCUGGUUGUCGUCAUAGUUCUUGGCUGAAAAGUAAUGGGACAAACUCUAACUGGUGCUUGAUUGGAUGUAAACUUUCAGGUAUAGAGAGUCCUGCAUCAUAGAGUAUAAGAAGCAGGCAUUUUGACUUGAGUGAACAGUAGUCAACACUCCAAAUUAUCUGUUAAAUUUCCUGCCACAUCCCAGUUUGCUGAACUGAUACAUUUUCUAUUAUAAUGAAUCUUGUAUUUAUUUCAAAGUCUCACCUUUUUCCUUGGGUCAUAGGUAUGGCAGCUUUCAAACAUUUUAUGUUCCUCUUUCUGAAACAUUCUUCACCUAAAUCAUAGUGAGUCUGAAAUUUCGAUACAGUAUGCACUUGUCCCAGAGAAAUAUACUUUACAUGAAAUAAACAUGUUCAGUUGCUUUAUCACUAUUAUACUAUCUUAAAUCUCAAGUGCUAGAUAAAAGCCAUAAUUUUGGUUUUGUCACUUGUGUGAGGGUUUCAGUUACAGGUAAAAGCAAAAUAUUUAUCAGCCUAUACCCAUGAGGGUUAAAGUGCUGCCUAAUUUUUUUACAUAAUAGAGUGUCACAAGGAUUGCCAUUUGUUUUAAAUUUCACACACUGUUAUGCUACAAUCAGUCUCUCUGCAGUUGACACAGGAGGCCUACCUCAAAAUCUCUGUCAGCCUUUCAGGCAUCUUUCAGUUUUAAAGACAUGUUGAUUUUCUUGUCUGUAUAAAAUGAACAAUAUAAUGAGCAUUUUUAUAACA
rnacentral:lncRNA from 1 species